UCAGGGUGGGAAAGGAACCCCCCAGGGACACCCCAAAUAUUCCAGGGUGGGAAAGGGACACCCCAGGGACACCCCAAAUAUUCAGGGGUGGGAAAUGAACCCCCCAGGGACACCCCAAAUAUUCAGGGUGGGAAAGGGACACCCCAGGGACACCCCAAAUAUUCCAGGGUGGGAAAGGAACCCCCCAGGGACACCCCAAUUAUUCAGGGUGGGAAAGGGACACCCCAAAUAUUCCAGGGUGGGGAAAGGGACACCCCAAAUAUUCAGGGUGGGAGAGGAACCCCCCAGGGACACCCCAAAUAUUCAGGGUGGGAAAGGAGCCCCCCAGGGACACCCCAAAUAUUCCAGGUGGGAAAGGGACACCCCAAAUAUCCGGGGCGGGGAAAGGAACCCCCAGGGACACCCCAAAUAUUCAGGGUGGGAAAUGAACCCUCAAUUUUAGGACCCCCCAAAUGUGACAGGGACCCCCUGGUGUCAGGGGAGGGACCCCCAGGACCCCCCUCAAGCGCUCCAGGGUGGGGAGAAGGGACCCCCGGCACCCCCCAGGCUCACGAGGGGUUUUUAUGGCAGUGUUAAUAUAUUUUUAUUUAUUUAUUGACCCCCCCAGAGUGAGAGCGCGGGUGGGACGGGCUCUGGGUGUUGCCCCCUCCUCAUUUUUGCCUCAUUUCUCACCCGGGGGGGCUCUGGGUCUGUCCCCCUCCCCUCCAUCACCUCCAGCCCUCCCGCGCCCCCCGGGGGGGCCGUGGCCAUCGGGAGGGGGUUCGGGGCCGCCCCCUCCCCUCGCACUGUGCAAUAGCAGCCCCCGCCCCAGGGGCCUGUAAAUAAAAGCUGCUGCGGUAUUUUC